CAAGUCGAACGGCAGCACGGAGAGCUUGCUCUCUGGUGGCGAGUGGCGAACGGGUGAGUAAUAUAUCGGAACGUGUCCAAUAAUGGGGGAUAACGAGUCGAAAGAUUCGCUAAUACCGCAUACGCCCUACGGGGGAAAGCAGGGGAUCGUAAGACCUUGCGUUAAUGGAGCGGCCGAUAUCUGAUUAGCUUGUUGGUGAGGUAAAGGCUCACCAAGGCGACGAUCAGUAGCUGGUUUGAGAGAACGACCAGCCACACUGGAACUGAGACACGGUCCAGACUCCUACGGGAGGCAGCAGUGGGGAAUUUUGGACAAUGGGGGCAACCCUGAUCCAGCCAUUCCGCGUGAGUGAAGAAGGCCUUCGGGUUGUAAAGCUCUUUCGCAAGGGAAGAAAACUUAUGAUCGAAUAAAUCAUGAGGUUGACGGUACCUUGAUAAGAAGCACCGGCUAACUACGUGCCAGCAGCCGCGGUAAUACGUAGGGUGCGAGCGUUAAUCGGAAUUACUGGGCGUAAAGCGUGCGCAGGCGGUUUUGUAAGUCGGAUGUGAAAUCCCCGGGCUCAACCUGGGAACUGCGUUCGAAACUGCAAGGCUAGAGUGUGUCAGAGGGGGGUAGAAUUCCACGUGUAGCAGUGAAAUGCGUAGAGAUGUGGAGGAAUACCAAUGGCGAAGGCAGCCCCCUGGGAUAACACUGACGCUCAUGCACGAAAGCGUGGGGAGCAAACAGGAUUAGAUACCCUGGUAGUCCACGCCCUAAACGAUGUCAACUAGUUGUUGGUAGAGUAAAAUCUAUGAGUAACGUAGCUAACGCGUGAAGUUGACCGCCUGGGGAGUACGGUCGCAAGAUUAAAACUCAAAGGAAUUGACGGG
rnacentral:rRNA from 1 species